ensembl:lncRNA
AGGAGCUGCAAUAUUAACGUCUUCUAAUGGGCUUUACAGACACCUGCGGGAAUAUUUUCAUUCAGUUACAAACCGAAGCCAUCUGUUUACAAUAUCAAAUAGUGGUGAGGUCAUUGUGUGUCUUCAUACUGAUACUAGUUAUGUAGUUUUUUUCAACGGUAUUAACCAAGAACAAGUAUAUGCGUUGGGACUAAUAUUAUUUAUGUCAAGAUUAUAUGGUACAGAAGCGACAGCCCACCACCAUUUACGGGGUUGACGUGGCGUCCUGAUGGCAUCCUGAUGACGUAGCGUCCCGAUGACGUGGCGUCCUGAUGGCGUCCUGAUGGCGUCCCGUUGGUCUGCAGACAAGGAGAAGAGACAUCUGGAUUUGCUCCUGAGGGGUUGACGUGACGUCCUGAUGGCGUCCCGUUGACGUGGCGUCCUGAUGGCGUGGCGUCCUGAUGGCGUCCCGUUGGUCUGCAGACAAGGAGAAGAGACAUCUGGAUUUGCUCCUGAGGGGUUGACGUGACGUCCUGAUGGCGUCCCGUUGACGUGGCGUCCCGAUGGCGUGGCGUCCUGAUGGCGUCCCGUUGGUCUGCAGACAAGGAGAAGAGACGUGAGGA